rnacentral:misc_RNA from 1 species
UACGAAGGGGGCAAGCGUUGUUCGGAUUUACUGGGCGUAAAGGGCGUGCAGGCGGAUUGAUAAGUCGACUGUGAAACCUGUGGGCUCAACCCACAGCCUGCAGUCGAAACUGUCAAUCUUGAGUACAGAAGAGGAGAGCGGAAUCGGUAGUGUAGCGGUGAAAUGCGUAGAUAUUACCGAGAACACCGGUGGCGAAGGCGGCUCUCUGGUCUGAUACUGACGCUGAGACGCGAAAGCUAGGGGAGCGAACGGG